GACGAACGCUGGCGGUGUGCUUAACACAUGCAAGUCGAACGGUAAGGCCCUUUCGGGGGUACACGAGUGGCGAACGGGUGAGUAACACGUGAGUAACCUGCCCUCAUCUCUGGGAUAACAGUCGGAAACGGUUGCUAAUACUGGAUAUGAGCUUGCAAGGCACCUUGUGGGUUGGAAAGAUUUUUUUGGUUGGGGAUGGACUCGCGGCCUAUCAGCUUGUUGGUGAGGUAGUGGCUCACCAAGGCUUCGACGGGUAGCCGGCCUGAGAGGGCGACCGGCCACAUUGGGACUGAGAUACGGCCCAAACUCCUACGGGAGGCAGCAGUGGGGAAUAUUGCACAAUGGACGGAAGUCUGAUGCAGCAACGCCGCGUGCGGGAUGACGGCCUUCGGGUUGUAAACCGCUUUCAAUUGUGACGAAGCUUUUUGUGACGGUAGCAGUAGAAGAAGCACCGGCUAACUACGUG
rnacentral:rRNA from 1 species